rnacentral:rRNA from 1 species
GCUUAUGGCCAUAACAUGUUGAAUGCACUGGUCCUCAUCUAAUGCUGGAGUUAAGCAACGUCAAGCCUAGUUAGUACUUAGAUGUGUAACCGCUUGGGAAACCUAGGUGCUGUAAGCA